CAGCUAGAAAGAUGUAGGCUUGGAGCAGAAUCGCCCAGCAUCGCCAGCACCAGCUCAACUGAAAAGUCAUUUCCUUGGAGAUCAACAGCACCCACAGGUUCUUGUAUCUGAGGAUCAUUCCCCACUUGGAUGCUGGACACAAGUGACCCCUGUAUAGAAGUAGAGAUCAGACUUCCUGCUUUAGCUCUAUGACUUAUUGUUGCUGGACCUGGUUCACCACCAAAUAAGAACUAGACUAUUGCUUCAAUGGACAUACAGCUGCAGCUGGCUUUUUCUGAGCCACUUCUGUGUCAAGUACCUAGAGGGCUGCGGAAGACCGGAAGACCGUCAGCUCCCUGGAGCUGGAUUCGCAGGUGCUAGUGAGCCUCCUGAUGGGGCAGGAACCCAGAAAGGGACCUCAGCAAGAACAGCCAGUCCUCAUAACAGCAGAGCCAUCUCUCCAGACUCUUGAUAUUCUUAUCUUGGUAUUUGAUAGCAUGUUCCCCUACAAGAAAUAAAAUAUGUCUGCAAAAAAAAAAACCU
rnacentral:lncRNA from 1 species